rnacentral:snoRNA from 1 species
UUGACCAAUGAUGAAAGUGUGCCAUGAACCAAGAAUUAUGGUUAAUCCAAUUCUGUAUACUAGAAGUAUAUU